CUACGGGGGGCAGCAGUGGGGAAUAUUGGACAAUGGGGGCAACCCUGAUCCAGCAAUGCCGCGUGUGUGAAGAAGGCCUGAGGGUUGUAAAGCACUUUCAGUAGGGAGGAAAAGUUUGUAGUUAAUAACUGCAAGCCUUGACGUUACCUACAAAAGAAGCACCGGCUAACUCUGUGCCAGCAGCCGCGGUAAUACAGAGGUGCGAGCGUUAAUCGGAAUUACUGGGCGUAAAGCGCGUGUAGGUGGAUAAGUAAGUUGGAUGUGAAAGCCCCGGGCUUAACCUGGGAUGGUCAUUCAAAACUGCUUGACUAGAGUACAGUAGAGGGAAGUGGAAUUUCAGGUGUAGCGGUGAAAUGCGUAGAUAUCUGAAGGAACACCAGUGGCGAAGGCGGCUUCCUGGACUGAUACUGACACUGAGACGCGAAAGCGUGGGGAGCGAACAGGAUUAGAUACCCUUGUAGUC
rnacentral:rRNA from 1 species